GAUGUGUGGGGAUGGAGACAGGGUGGAGUUGUUGACAGUGAGACCGAAGUUAUGGGUGUUCUUUGUGAGGGAUUUCGGGCCGAUGAGCAUCAAGUCGGAUUUAUUGUAGUUGAGUUGGAGGAAGUUGGUAUGCAUCCAGUUUUGAAUAUUGGUGAGGCAGUUGGUCAAGGUGGAGGAUAUAGCUGUGGUGAUGGAUUUGGUAGAGAUG